CCUACGGGCGGCUGCAGUGGGGAAUAUUGGACAAUGGGGGCAACCCUGAUCCAGCCAUGCCGCGUGUGUGAAGAAGGCCCUCGGGUUGUAAAGCACUUUCAGUGAGGAAGAACGCCUGGUGGUUAAUACCCAUCAGGAAAGACAUCACUCACAGAAGAAGCACCGGCUAACUCCGUGCCAGCAGCCGCGGUAAUACGGAGGGUGCGAGCGUUAAUCGGAAUUACUGGGCGUAAAGCGCGCGUAGGUGGCUUGAUAAGCCGGUUGUGAAAGCCCCGGGCUCAACCUGGGAACGGCAUCCGGAACUGUCAAGCUAGAGUGCAGGAGAGGAAGGUAGAAUUCCCGGUGUAGCGGUGAAAUGCGUAGAGAUCGGGAGGAAUACCAGUGGCGAAGGCGGCCUUCUGGACUGACACUGACGCUGAGGUGCGACAGCGUGGGUAGCAAACAGGAUUAGAUACCCGAGUAGUC
rnacentral:rRNA from 1 species